rnacentral:rRNA from 1 species
CUACCAUGGCAGUCACGGGUAACGGAGAAUUAGGGUUCGAUUCCGGAGAGGGAGCCUGAGAAACGGCUACCACAUCUAUGGAAGGCAGCAGGCGCGUAAAUUACCCAAUCCGGAUUCAGGGAGGUAGUGACAAGAAAUAACAACCUAUGUCCUCACGGACUGUGGAUUGUAAUGAGUUUAAUUUAAAACACUGAACGAGGAACAAUUGGAGGGCAAGUCUGGUGCCAGCAGCCGCGGUAAUUCCAGCUCCAAUAGCGUAUAUUAAAGUUGUUGCAGUUAAAAAGCUCGUAGUUGAAUUUCUAGUCAACCGUUUUCUGGCUUCACAGUCGUUAACGAUUGCCUAUCCGACAUUGAACUAUAAUGGUUAUUAAGUUAACCUUAUAGCGAACUGUCAUUUUACUUUGAAAAAAUUAGAGUGUUUCAGGCAGGCAAUUGCCCGAAUAUCUUAGCAUGGAAUAAUGGAAUAGGACUUUGGUUCAUUUGAUUGGUUAUUGAAUCAGAGUAAUGAUUAAUAGGGACAGUUGGGGGCAUUAGUAUUUAAUUGUCAGAGGUGAAAUUCUUGGAUUUAUUAGAGACUAACUUAUGCGAAAGCAUUUGCCAAGGAUGUUUUCAUUAAUCAA